AGUGAGGAAUUUUCCGCAAUGGGCGAAAGCCUGACGGAGCGACGCCGCGUGUGGGAAGAAGGCCUUCGGGUCGUAAACCACUGUCGAAGGGGACGAUAUUGACGGUACCCUUGGAGGAAGCCCCGGCUAACUACGUGCCAGCAGCCGCGGUAAGACGUAGGGGGCAAACGUUGUCCGGAAUUAUUGGGCGUAAAGCGCUCGUAGGUGGAUCAACAAGUCUGCAAGCAAAGACCCGGGCUCAACUCGGGAAUCCGUGUGGAAACUGUUGGUCUAGAGGUAGUUAGAGGAUGAUGGAAUUCCCGGU
rnacentral:rRNA from 1 species